GACAACUGAUAAAUGGAUGUUAGGAAUGAAGUCAUCAUGCUGACUGAAACUAACAGCUUGAUACUCCUGCAUGCCUCUCAAAUUUGUAGAUUUGAUUGGUAUGAAGCCAGGUAAAGUCGGCUGAACUUAAUCUAAGUAAUAUGAAAAUAUAAUAUGGUUAAGGAUAGGCCGGAGCGCUAUAAA
rfam:Bacillus pseudofirmus OF4 plasmid pBpOF4-01, complete sequence.